UCCGUGACCAGCUGCCGCAGAUCUGCCAUCUUUUGCAGGAGUUUUGGGAAGAGAAAGACGUCGUCCGGAUGGUUGCUCUAUCUUGGCAUUCGUCCGAAACGAAUUGCUGGGGGUCGGAGGGGAGAAACGGAAUAACGGAAAACACAGAGAAAUGAACAACAAAACAUGGAACAAGGACUAACAGCUGGACGAAAGGGUCACACCACGGGUUAAACUAUGAGCAAACAUUCAUGGCUACGGUCACACGUGUCAUAUGCCAGCUUUAGCCGAAUAGUUCUCCGAAAGAAACCCUGUGGAUUGAUAUACAGUUUAUUAAAGAAUAUGGACCACUGAGGAAUCAGUGUCAUUCCUUUA